GUCACUGCCACGUCCGAGGAAUCCAGCCUUCCCCGGCGUCAGAACCUGGAUGGGCCCUGUUCACUCUCAAAAUGUGACAGAAAAAAUUUUGAACUUCUUGCUGCUGGUUGAAAGGUUUAUCAAUAAUACCUUGAAUUUGACACAGGAUACAAAUCUGCAAUAAACCAACAAUGGAAACUGGAGAACAAGAUGAGAGGCAAUUCAUCUCGAACAAUUAGCUCUUACAAUACUCCAUAGGUACUACACGGAAAGCUUCUGGGCAUACUGCAGAGUCUAAUAUAGCGAAAAAGACAACAAGCUCCGAAGAAAAAGGCCAGGCAGUGGCAUAUGUUCACUCACACAUCAUAAGCAACAACUUCUGUUUAGCUGAUUAACACUGAAAUGAAGAACAAGGCCACAGAUAAGAGUCUGAUGUAAUUGGAGAAUACAGGCAAAUUAAAGUAACCAAAAUGUCCACUACGUUUACAAAAGAGUGAUUUGUU